GCAUUGGUGGCUUAGUGGUAAAAUUAUCGCCCUGCACACGGGAGAACUGGGUUCAAUUCCUAGCCAGUGCA
rnacentral:tRNA from 1 species